GAAGGUCAGGCUGAAGACCUUACCCGAUUAGCUGAGAGGUGGUGCAUGGCCGUCGUCAGUUCGUACUGUGAAGCAUCCUGUUAAGUCAGACAACGAGCGAGACCCACGUCCACAGUUGCCAGCAUACCCCUCCGGGGUGAUGGGUACACUGUGGAGACCGCCGCUGCUAAAGCGGAGGAAGGAGUGGGCAACGGUAGGUCAGUAUGCCCCGAAUCUCCCGGGCUACACGCGGGCUACAAUGGUUGGUACAAUGGGCAUCUACCCCGAAAGGGGAAGGAAAUCUCUUAAAGCCAAUCGUAGUUCGGAUUGAGGGCUGCAACUCGCCCUCAUGAAGCUGGAAUCCGUAGUAAUCGCGUUUCAACAGAACGCGGUGAAUACGUCCCUGCUCCUU
rnacentral:rRNA from 1 species